rnacentral:rRNA from 1 species
ACUGGCCUCCUAUGUUCCUAACGGUCCUCAUCCGCGAGGGUGGGGAAUCAACCGCUAGGAUCGUUUACUUUGAGGAAAUUAGAGUGUUCAAAGCAGGCGUAACUCGCCUCCGAAUACGUUAGCAUGGGAUAAUGGAAUACGACUUCGGUCUUGUUUCGUUGGUUUCGCUUGGCUGAAGUAAUGAUUGAUAGGGACAGUUGGGGGCAUUAGUAUUUAGUUGUCAGAGGUGAAAUUCUAGGAUUUACUAAAGACUGACCAAUGCGAAAGCAUUUGCCAAGGAUGUUUUCAUUAAUCAAGAACGAAAGUAGGGGGAUCGAAGACGAUCAGAUACCGUCGUAGUCUCUACCGUAAACUAUGCCGACCAGGGAUCCGGAGAGUUUGCAUGGAUGACUCCCCGGGCACCUUGUGAGAAAUCAUAAGUGUUUGGGUUUUGGGGGGAGUAUGGUCGCAAGGCUGAAACUUAAAGGAAUUGACGGAAGGGCACCACCAGGAGUGGAACCUGCGGCUUAAUUUGACUCAACACGGGGAAACUUACGAGGUCAGGACACUG